rnacentral:ncRNA from 2 species
AACUUCAUAAAGUAUUCAGGUGCCCUGCGCGGCGCAGGGUGAAAAAGGGAACCGGGUGCGAAUCCCGGACGGCCCCGCCACUGUGAUGGGGAGCGCCUGCCUGUAAAAGCCACUAGGCGGAAAGCCUGGGAAGGCGGCAGGCGCGGUGAACCUCAGUCAGGAGACCUGCCUGGAUACGGCGCCACAA